rnacentral:rRNA from 1 species
CCUACGGGGCGCAGCAGUGGGGAAUAUUGGACAAUGGGCGAAAGCCUGAUCCAGCCAUGCCGCGUGUGUGAAGAAGGCCUUCGGGUUGUAAAGUACUUUCAGUGGGGAAGAAAGCCUUGGGGCUAAUACCCUCGAGGAAGGACAUCACCCACAGAAGAAGCACCGGCUAACUCCGUGCCAGCAGCCGCGGUAAUACGGAGGGUGCGAGCGUUAAUCGGAAUUACUGGGCGUAAAGCGCGCGUAGGCGGUCUGAUAAGCCGGUUGUGAAAGCCCCGGGCUCAACCUGGGAACGGCAUCCGGAACUGUCAGGCUAGAGUGCAGGAGAGGAAGGUAGAAUUCCCGGUGUAGCGGUGAAAUGCGUAGAGAUCGGGAGGAAUACCAGUGGCGAAGGCGGCCUUCUGGACUGACACUGACGCUGAGGUGCGAAAGCGUGGGUAGCAAACAGGAUUAGAUACCCGGGUAGUC